GUGCUUGCUAAGGUAGCACACAUGAAAAAUUGUAAUCAAUACAGAGAAGAUUAGCACGGAUGCAAGGAUGACACAUUAACUUGUGAAGCAUUUACAUAUUUU